AGAGUUGAUCAUGGCUCAGGAUGAACGCUGGCGGCGUGUUAACACAUGCAAGUCGAGCGAGAAGCUCAUGACAGAUACUCGGUGAUGGAUUGAGUGGAAAGCGGCGGACGGGUGAGUAACGCGUAGGCAACCUGCCCCGUGCAGAGGGAUAGCCUCGGGAAACCGGGAUUAAAACCUCAUAAUGCGCAACCGAGACAUCUCGGAUGCGCCAAAGAUUUAUCGGCACGGGAUGGGCCUGCGUCUGAUUAGUUAGUUGGUGGGGUAACGGCCUACCAAGGCGACGAUCAGUAGCCGACCUGAGAGGGUGAUCGGCCACAUUGGAACUGAGACACGGUCCAAACUCCUACGGGAGGCAGCAGUGGAGAAUCUUGCACAAUGGGCGAAAGCCCUGAUGCAGCAACGCCGCGUGAAGGAUGAAGGCCCUUGGGUCGUAAACUUCUGUUCUAAGGGAAGAUAAUGACGGUACCUUAGGAGCAAGUCCCGGCUAACUACGUGCCAGCCGCCGC
rnacentral:rRNA from 1 species